rnacentral:rRNA from 1 species
UCUACGGGUGGCAGCAGUGGGGAAUAUUGCGCAAUGGGCGAUAGCCUGACGCAGCGACGCCGCGUGAGGGAUGAAGGUUUUCGGAUCGUAAACCUCUGUCAGCAGGGAAGUACGGUCACUGUGCUAAUCAGCAGUGAAUUGACGGUACCUGCAAAGGAAGCACCGGCUAACUCCGUCCCAGCAGCCGCGGUAAUACGGCGGGUGCGAGUGGUAAUCGGAAUUACUGGGCGUAAAGCGCUCGUAGGCGGUAUGUCAAGUCAAGGGUGAAAUCCCCGAGCUCAACGUGGGAACUGCAUUUGAGACUGGCAAACUGGAGUGUGUGAGAGGAUAGUGGAAUUCGAGGUGUAGGAGUGAAAUCCGUAGAUAUCUGGAGGAACAUCAGUGGCGAAGGCGACUAUCUGACACAUAACUGACGCUGAGGAGCGAAAGCGUGGGUAGCAAACAGGAUUAGAUACCCUAGUAGUC